rnacentral:rRNA from 1 species
GUGUCAGCCGCCGCGGUAAGACGUAGGAUGCAAGCGUUGUCCGGAAUUAUUGGGCGUAAAGAGUUCGUAGGCGGUUGCUUAAGUCUGGUGUUAAAUACUGGAGCUCAACUCCAGCAUGGCAUUGGAAACUGGGCAGCUAGAGUGCGGUAGAGGUCACGGGAAUUCCAGGUGUAGCGGUGAGAUGCGUAGAUAUCUGGAGGAACACCAGUGGCGAAAGCGUGUGACUGGGCCGUAACUGACGCUGAGGAACGAAAGCCAGGGGAGCGAAAGGGAUUAGAAACCCGAGUAGUCC